AUACGUAGGUGGCAAGCGUUGUCCGGAAUUAUUGGGCGUAAAGCGCGCGCAGGUGGUUCAUUAAGUCUGAUGUGAAAGCCCCCGGCUCAACGGGGGAGGGUCAUUGGAAACUGGGGGACUUGAGUGCGGAAGAGGAUAGUGGAAUUCCAAGUGUAGCGGUGAAAUGCGUAGAGAUUUGGAGGAACACCAGUGGCGAAGGCGACUGUCUGGUCUGUAACUGACACUGAGGCGCGAAAGCGUGGGGAGCAAACAGGAUUAGAUACCCUGGUAGUCCACGCCGUAAACGAUGAGUGCUAAGUGUUGGGGGGUUUCCGCCCCUCAGUGCUGCAGCUAACGCAUUAAGCACUCCGCCUGGGGAGUACGGUCGCAAGACUGAAACUCAAAUGAAUUGACGGGG
rnacentral:rRNA from 1 species